rnacentral:lncRNA from 1 species
GGGUGUCGCGGACGGCAAUGUUGAUGAGCAUAAAUCUGAUACAGAGGAUACUGACGGCACCCAGGAUAUUGUAACCAAGGGCUUAGAAGAUUUUCGCUCUAAAGGUGACUCGGACGACAAUGGCGAUGAGCGUAAAUCUGAUACAGAGGAUAUUGACGG